rnacentral:rRNA from 1 species
AUUGGACGCUGGCGGCAUGCCUUACACAUGCAAGUCGAACGGUAACAGGUCUUCGGAUGCUGACGAGUGGCGCACGGGUGAGUAAUACAUCGGAACGUGCCCGAUCGUGGGGGAUAACGAGGCGAAAGCUUUGCUAAUACCGCAUACGAUCUACGGAUGAAAGCGGGGGAUCUUCGGACCUCGCGCGGACGGAGCGGCCGAUGGCAGAUUAGGUAGUUGGUGGGAUAAAAGCUUACCAAGCCGACGAUCUGUAGCUGGUCUGAGAGGAUGAUCAGCCACACUGGGACUGAGACACGGCCCAGACUCCUACGGGAGGCAGCAGUGGGGAAUUUUGGACAAUGGGCGAAAGCCUGAUCCAGCCAUGCCGCGUGCAGGAUGAAGGCCUUCGGGUUGUAAACUGCUUUUGUACGGAACGAAAAGCCUCUUUCUAAUAAAGAGGGGUCAUGACGGUACCGUAAGAAUAAGCACCGGCUAACUACGUG